rnacentral:lncRNA from 1 species
GAGAAACAUAUAUCGAAUUAGGGAUGCACGUUUACGCCACCCAGGGCACGGCGGCUACGGGUUUACCCCCAGUAAUAGGAAGAUGAGCUCCAGGGAUCUCAUAUAGAUCCAGGCAUUUUUACCCAUUACAACCAGUGAAAGCUAACUUCAAUGCUAAAGUAAAGCUGGUGAACAAGGAAGGAAGCAGUGAAAGGUAAUUCAAAUAGCGACGGCUCCUGUCUUCAGAGCCGUUCGAUGCGUGAUGAGGGGUGGUGGUGUGUCGUAACUCAGGACAAAGCGGUAGGCUGCCAUUAGAUGAAGAUCAGACGGUCGACGACGAGGCCACCGCGCCAACCGCCGGGUGUCGAUUUCUUCAGUUAACAGCAUGACAAGUGUUGAUUUCUUCAGAAGAUGCAGUCUGGUUGUUUCUGAAAAAGGAGAUGUGUAAGUAAUUGGCAUGGCUCUGCCGGUCCGAAUAUUUUGUGUUACACUAGUUUCGGAUGACCGAAAUACUAACCAUCGCACACACAGUAUGAAUGUGAAUGGUGUACUCAUCGAAGCAAUUUUAUUCUGAGCGGCAUCACAAGGCUGAUGAUGGGCUUCAGAUAUACCAACUAGCUGCAGGCUAUGCUUCUUCUAGCCUGGGCAGUGUUUCUUCUUCUUCUUCUUCCUUGCAUGGCUUCAGAUACUCCGUGGACUGGUUGCAAGUCAAUCCAUCACCCUCCUUGGCAGUCGAUUCUGAAAUGUUCUCAAGUCGGUUAACCGGAUAAGAAGAUGGAGCUGGUUCGCAGAGUUGAAGUUCGCUGGGGCCUUAUUACCUUGCAGGAAUGGAUGUUCCUUCCACGCAAGCAAAAUCACUGUGAGCCUGUAGGGUUAAAGGUAGUAUCAUGCAAUUGUGAGCUUCAUAUUUGCUGUACUAUCGUAUCUCUACUUUUCUUCCCCCAAAACAGUAGCUAAUCGUGAUAAUCUGAACUGAUGAUGAAGAACAGUUUGAAGUUUGAGAAACAUACCUGAUUCAGGAAUCCAACUUUGGCCCUUUUCCCUGAUUCCUACUGGUUCAAUCCAUACUGCAGAAACAUAAAAGUUAGUUAUUUGGUUGUAACCGACAUAUGCUAUUUCGUUAGUAACAAGGUCUUGUAAACUUACCGUAAUAAUUCUUACAUGAAAACUGUAUUUUAGUAUGGCCCAUAACUGCAACCUGAGUUUCUUCAGGAGAUUCCUCACAACAAUUUCACACCGUGGAGAGCCAUGAUACCGGCCACAUUAUUGGAGGCGUGCAGCUUGGAGAUCCUUGAAUGGUGGAUCUACAAAACGAAGCAACAUCAUAAUUGAGGCUAGCUAUCAACAGUACAUGCAUGAUGUCCGACUGAAAUAUGUAAAGGAUCAGUCAGUCAGAGCAAGGCACUUCCAGCUCCGUCGCUAGUUAGGCAAGUUUCACAUGAUGUAAACAGUUGAACAGCAAGUGAAUCACUAGUUAGGCAUUAAUCAACAUCCUGAUUCACUGUGGACCUGAUCAGAACAAAUUGCUUUACCUGUAUUCAGCAGUGAUGGGAACAGUAAAAAAAUAAAUCACAGAACACGGAAAACUGUAUGUCCCUAAUCAGUAUAGGAGAUUGGAAAGAUCGAACACCGAAAACUGUUGUAGCUCAAAAAUAGUAAAUAUGUAAUCUUCUAAUAGCUCAAAACUGAAAGCAUAUUGAAUAGGUUGCAAUCAUGCACCUUGAUGCCUUUCUGAAAUUUCAAAAUUGCACAUGCCCAUGCCCUGCAAUGCAUUACCUUUGGACUGCUACUACCCCUAUGAUCUGAAUUAGCUCCAGGGGUGCAGUGCUAUGGUAUGCACGCUAUUCCUGUGAUCCGUUGAUCUCUAAAACCGAACUCUCCAGGUACACCGUCAGUC